rnacentral:rRNA from 1 species
GAUGAACGCUAGCGGCAGGCUUAAUACAUGCAAGUCGAGGGGCAUCAAGGUACACGAAAGUGUAUUGUUGGCGACCGGCGGACGGGUGAGUAAUAGGUAGGUAACCUACCUCAUACUGAGGCAUAGCUGGGAGAAAUUCCAGGUAAUUCCUCAUGAGGUUAUAUGACACAUGUGAUAUAAUCAAAGGUAUCGCAAGGUACUGGUAUGAGAUGGGCUUACUGACCAUUAGCUAGUUGGUGAGAUAAGAGCUCACCAAGGCGAAGAUGGUUAGGGGUUUUGAGAGAGAGAUCCCCCACAUUGGAACUGAGAUACGGUCCAGACUCCUACGGGAGGCAGCAGUAGGGAAUAUUGGGCAAUGGGCGGAAGCCUGACCCAGCCAUGCCGCGUGAAGGAAGACGGCCUUAUGGGUUGUAAACUUCUUUACUAUGCGACUAACUAGAUUUACGAGAUAAUUCUAUAGAAUGUAGCAUAGCAAAAGCACGGA